AUGGCAGAGAAUACCGACAGAGAGGGAGAACAGACCAUGUUCGAUAUGAUACGUGGGCCAGAUGAUAAUCAAAAUAAAGAAGAUUAUGAUGGCUCCGAAUUUCUAAACAACACCGGAGAGGGUGAUAUGAUAUUCGAUCGCGACGACGAAAUUGAUGAAGUCAUGAACUAUGAUUAUGACGAUGACGAAGAACAUGUUGAUCCUGAAACAACAAACACCGGCGAGCCAUCCGGAUCGAGCAAAUCUUCAGGCAAAAUGACGAAACGAGGCUCGAACAAAAAGUUGAAGCCGGGCGUAAAGUACAAUAUCGAGGCAUGCGGCCGUACUGGCAAACCAUUAGCGCCUAAGAAGAUUGCGGACAAGUUCGUUCGUUAG
rnacentral:rRNA from 1 species